AUACCUUUCUCCGCCUUUUGGCUAAGAUCAAGUGUAGUAUCUGUUUUUAUCAAUUUAAUAUCUGAUAUGUGGUUCAUUGGUCCACACGAUAUUAACUUUAUUUUUUAAGGAGAAAAUCCAUUUAAGUAGCUUGCUACUUGGGUUUUCACGAGUUCUCCUUGUGUUGCAUUAUUGUGUGUUGCAUUAUUGCAAGGGAGGGGCUCAACCUAA
rnacentral:snRNA from 1 species